GGUGGUUACAUAGCCGUGGAUAAGAAAUAGUGGUUAAGAAAUAGAGGUUAGACAUGUAUGUUAGGGAAAAAUUGUUAUUGUUGUGGACGUGAUUGUUGUGGUUGGGGUACAAAAAAUAUAAAGUUUCUAGCACAUAUAGUAUGGAUGUGAUACGGUGGAUAGGUCAAAUAUCUUAACUUGAUAAGCAUACAUAAUGUUUCAUAAUAUAAAAGAUCUAAAACCUGCGGAUAUUACAAAAGCAUACAUAAUGUUUGGGAAGGGAGGAAUAGACAGGCAUGA
rnacentral:lncRNA from 1 species